AAAAGGGGGGCAACUCCCUGAGUACAGCGGCGCACGGGUGAGUAACACGUAGGUAAUCUCCCCUCGAGCCCGGAAUAACCUACCGAAAGGUGGGCUAAUACCGGAUAUGACCACGGAAGUUUCGGCUUCUGCGGUGAAAGAUGGCCUCUAUUUAUAAGCUAUCACUCAAGGAUGAGCCUGCGUGCCAUUAGCUAGUUGGUGGGGUAAUGGCCCACCAAGGCUAUGAUGGCUAGCUGGUCUGAGAGGAUGGCCAGCCACACUGGGACUGAAACACGGCCCAGACUCCUACGGGAGGCAGCAGUGGGGGAUAUUGCGCAAUGGGCGAAAGCCUGACGCAGCGACGCCGCGUGGGUGAUGAAGGCCUUCGGGUCGUAAAGCCCUGUCGAGGGGGACGAAUCGGUUGCGACCUAACACGUCGUGAUCUUGACGGUACCCCUAAAGGAAGCACCGGCUAACUCCGUGCCAGCAGCCGCGGUAAUACGGAGGGUGCUAGCGUUGUUCGGAAUCACUGGGCGUAAAGCGCGUGUAGGCGGUCCGUUAAGUCUGAUGUGAAAGCCCGGGGCUCACCCCCGGAAGUGCAUUGGAAACUGACGAACUCGAGUCCCGGAGAGGAGGGUGGAAUUCCUGGUGUAGCGGUGAAAUGCGUAGAUAUCAGGAGGAACACCGGUGGCGAAGGCGGCCCUCUGGACGGUGACUGACGCUGAGACGCGAAAGCGUGGGGAGCAAACAGGAUUAGAUACCCUGGUAGUCCACGCCGUAAACGAUGAGCACUAGGUGUCGCGGGUAUUGACCCCUGCGGUGCCGACGCUAACGCAUUAAGUGCU
rnacentral:rRNA from 1 species